rnacentral:lncRNA from 10 species
GGCAGAAGCAAGAGGAUAUUUUCUCUGAUAUUUACUGUGAGAACCUAGUUCAGUUCCUGGAGAUAAAACUCACAAAAUUGUGGGGAUCCCCAUAUGACUGACCACCCCCUGCUGCCUCCAGAGUUUUAAAGUCUCAGAUUGGUCCACACUGUGCUGCUAGCAAUUCAUCAAUUUCAGGAAAAGCCACAUCCAAGGGGAUUCCUUUUGUUACUGAGUUGUGCCAGCUAGGGGACAAGGUGACACAGCCCCCAUUUAAAGUUUUCUUGACAUGAAGAUCCUAGAGGCAUUUUCUUCAGAACUGAACCAGGGGUAAUCAGUCUCUGUAGGGGAUCACAGCAAACUGCUUCAAGAAAAGCUUCAGGAGUCGCCUGUGUCUUCCCACAACACCUGCUGUCACAGGACUGAUAUUUCUUAACAAGCCCUGCCUCUCCACCCCUGCCUCCAAGACCAGGACUCCGCCCCAUCAGCUGGCCCCUGUGACAUGCUCCCCCAACCCCAAUUAAUUCUUCCUACUGCACUCAAAAAGACAUCGCCACAAGGAAAGGAGACAUUUAUAUAAUUAUUUUUCCUGUACUGUUGGUGCGAAGCCAGUUACCAGGCACUGUGCAGGUAACCCAUGAAUAUCUCUUGAAUUUGCUGAAUCAUAAACUGUCAUCAAAGAGACACAAACCAACUUAGCUCAGCCCACUGAUGGUCUCGAUUGAGUGAUCCUAUAAAAAUAUCAUUAUUUCCUCACUUUUGAGUUGUCCACAUGAGAAAAUGUGGUUAGAGGAAAGCCUUUUUAUUCAACAUGAUCAGGAUGGAUAGCUGGUUGUUUAAGCAAAUAAAAUCUGUUAAUGUAAGAACUCACAAAUACAAAAAUGUAUUUCUCCCUUAUUCAUUUAACCUAACGUAUAUAAAUAUAUGUCCAUUUACCAAUCUUUUUAGGUAGGGC